UUAGGAAUCUUCCACAAUGGGCGCAAGCCUGAUGGAGCGACACCGCGUGAGGGACGAAGGUCCUAGGAUUGUAAACCUCUAAAAGGGGGACGAUAGUGACGGUACCCCUUGAGAAGCACCGGCUAACUCCGUGCCAGCAGCCGCGGUAAUACGGAGGGUGCGAGCGUUAUCCGGAAUCACUGGGCGUAAAGGGCGCGUAGGCGGUUUGCUAAGUCCGAUGUUAAAGACCGAGGCUCAACCUCGAUACGGCGUUGGAUACUGGCAAGCUUGACGGCUGGAGAGGCGAGUGGAAUUACCAGUGUAGCGGUGGAAUGCGUAGAUACUGGUAGGAACACCUAUUGCGAAGGCAGCUCGCUGGACAGCACGUGACGCUGAGGCGCGAAAGUGUGGGGAGCAAACCGGAUUAGAUACCCCCGUAGUCC
rnacentral:rRNA from 1 species